rnacentral:tRNA from 1 species
CAACUACUAAAAUUUAACCA